AUCAAAUCUCAGCUUCACCCUUUUUUCCACAGCGUUCUGUGUUUUAUUUUUCGGUUUUUGCUCCGUGAAUCGAUUCUGCUCGUUGUUUGUAACCUUUAUAACCCCGGAGAAAAAAGCUGCGGUGCAGGACGAAUCGAAAACGUCCCUCGAGCGAGUUACGGUGAAAAAACACGAGGAGUCGACUCCAAGCAUUUCGACUCUUAGAGUCCCUGGCAAAGAGGCGAUCCCGACUUCCAGGCGUGGGGGAAUCAAAGAAUCGAUUCUCUUGGAAUCGACUCUCCAUCACUACCCUUCAGUGUGAUAAACAGGUCUUUACUGCCGACUAACGCGUUUACAGAUAUGGUGAGAAACCGUUCCUGUGGGUAAAUUUAGGCGGUUCUCUUGUGAACCGCGGACCUAACGGCUGUUUGUGACUCCCUACAGGAAGUUAAAGUGGAGAGGGACAAAGACUGAGCUGAACUGAUUCACACACUGCUCCGUCUCUCUGGGUGAAAUCUCUUCUGCUAGAAUGAGGACUCUGUCUGCUCUGCUGAUGGUGCUGCUGCUCUGCUCUCUCCAGCAGGUCUACUGUAGAAUUGAAGGCAUUGACAUUGAAGAUUGCUGUACUAAGCUGACUAAGUUGCGGAAGAUUCCCUUGGCGCGCAUUGAAUCCCACAGGUGGACCAACAGCGACUGCCCCAUAGAGAGCUGUUGUCUUUGAGAUGGAUACUGGAAAGAGCUUCUGUGUGGAUCAUUCCCUGGAUUGGGUCAAAAGUCACAUGAAAGCACUGGACCAGAAAAAAGCAUCUACAGCAUCAAAACUCUAAACAUCCUCCAAACCCUGAAGCUGAUCAUGUGAAGACUGUUGAAUUUUAUAUACAGUACAUUUAUGCAGUGUUUGUACAGUAAAACAGUAAAAUUUUAUGCAUGCAUUUUACUUAUCUACAUAACACUGUGGAACGAGAUGAUCUGUCUAAUAUAUUUACAAAAAUGUAUCAUUUGUAUUUCUAUUUCUUCAAUAAAGGUGAUUUUACUCCAG